CCGGAUAAGCCCUUACGGGGAAAGAUUUAUCGCCGAAAGAUCGGCCCGCGUCUGAUUAGCUAGUUGGUAGGGUAAUGGCCUACCAAGGCGACGAUCAGUAGCUGGUCUGAGAGGAUGAUCAGCCACAUUGGGACUGAGACACGGCCCAAACUCCUACGGGAGGCAGCAGUGGGGAAUAUUGGACAAUGGGGGCAACCCUGAUCCAGCCAUGCCGCGUGAGUGAUGAAGGCCCUAGGGUUGUAAAGCUCUUUUGUGCGGGAAGAUAAUGACGGUACCGCAAGAAUAAGCCCCGGCUAACUUCGUGCCAGCAGCCGCGGUAAUACGAAGGGGGCUAGCGUUGCUCGGAAUCACUGGGCGUAAAGGGUGCGUAGGCGGGUCUUUAAGUCAGGGGUGAAAUCCUGGAGCUCAACUCCAGAACUGCCUUUGAUACUGAAGAUCUUGAGUCCGGGAGAGGUGAGUGGAACUGCGAGUG
rnacentral:rRNA from 1 species